GCUGUUGUAGCUCAGUUGGUAGAGCAACUGAUUCGUAAUCAGUAGGUCGGUGGUUCGACUCCACUCAACAGCACCA
rnacentral:tRNA from 2 species